rnacentral:rRNA from 1 species
UACGCCGAAAGUACUUGUCUGGAGACGGACUGGGAGGAUAGGGCGUUGCUGGUU